ACACGUGAAAUCCUGUCUGAAGCCGGGUCGACCACGAUCCAACCCUAAAUACUACUACUAGACCGAUAGCGUACAAGUACCGUGAGGGAAAGGUGAAAAGAACGGCGGUGAGCCGAGUGAAAUAGAACCUGAAACCGUUUGCUUACAAUCAUUCAGAGCACUAUGUGGGUCUGUUUGAAUAUUAAGGACGGCUUGUCUUUUGGCGAUAAAUUAAUGAGUUCGAUUUUUUCUCAAUCGAUAGGCUAAAAGCCUUAUCUCAAUCGAAAAAAUCUUCACAACAUUAAUUUCUCAUCCAAAACAAGCGAAGCGUUUUUUGCAAAAGCAAAAAUGUUUCUUUGAAAAUACCGCGCCUUUGGGCGGGUAUAUCUUGUUUUUACAAUUUUUUUAUAAAUCAUCGGAUUAAAUUUGAAAUUUUAAAAGUAAAGAGAGAUAGAGCUUUUAAAAUCAAAAUUUCAAACCGUAGAUUAAAUUUAAAUAGAUCAAAUUUAAAAUUUAAAUCAAACAAGAUAAGACGAUCCAAGAUUAGUAUUGAAACAGAUCCACAGUGUGAUGGACUGCCUUUUGCAUAAUGAGCCUGCGAGUUGUGGUGUCUGGCGAGGUUAAGGAAACCCGGAGCCGUAGCGAAAGCGAGUCUUAAUAGGGCGAUUAGUCAGAUGCUGCAGACCCGAAACGAUGUGAUCUAUCCAUGAGCAGGUUGAAGCCGGUGUAAGAGCCGGUGGAGGACCCAACCGACGGCCGUUGAAAAGGCUCCGGAUGACUUGUGGAUAGGGGUGAAAGGCCAAUCAAACAUCGUGAUAGCUGGUUCUCUCCGAAAUAUAUUGAGGUAUAGCGUCGUGUAGUAGUUAUAAGGGGUAGAGCACUGAAUGGGCUAGGGCAUACACCAAUGUACCAAACCCUAUCAAACUCCGAAUACUUAUAGCGUAACCACGGCAGUCAGGCGGCGAGUGAUAAAAUCCGUCGUCAAGAGGGAAACAACCCGGACUAACAGCUAAGGUCCCCAAAUCUCAUUUAAGUGGAAAACGAUGUGAAGUUACUGAAACAACCAGGAGGUUGGCUUAGAAGCAGCCAUCCUUUAAAGAUAGCGUAAUAGCUCACUGGUCUAGUGAUUUUGCGCGGAAAAUAUAACGGGGCUAAAAUGAGUACCGAAGCUUUAGACUUGCACUUAAUCAUUUAUACUUGGCUUGGCUUUUGAGCGUCUUUAAAUGAGCUCGUAAAAAUAAAUGCUCACGAACUAUAUGUUCGCUCCGCUUUAUUUUUACGUCGCAACAUUUAAAUCCAUCUCAAAAAUCCUGCGCCAUCUUGAGUUCAAAUUUGAAUCUAAUGUCUUAGUCUAAAUUUUAGAAAUUUCAAAUUUCUUAGAAUUUUAAAAUUUAGCAACAAAAGCAAAAAGACAAGCAAAGCUUUUAAGAUAAAGGCGAAGUAUUUUUGUCUUUAGGCGAGGCGAAUUUUAGCGAAGCAAGGGAGUUAUCGUUUGGAUAAUGACCGAAGCUGAGCGAAAAUUUAACGAAGCAUAAAGCAAAAAGACAAGCCGCAAUAAAAGUAUAAAUCAUUAAGUGCAAGUGGUAGGAGAGCGUUCCAAUCAGCGUCGAAGCCGUACCGGUAAGGAGCGGUGGAGCGGUUGGAAGUGAGCAUGCAGGCAUGAGUAGCGAUAAAAUACGUGAGAAUCGUAUUCGCCGUAAACCCAAGGUUUCCUACGCGAUGCUCGUCAUCGUAGGGUUAGUCGGGUCCUAAGCAAAGUCCGAAAGGGGUAUGCGAUGGAAAAUCGGUUAAUAUUCCGAUACCGAUAUCAGUGUGCGACGGAAGGACGCUUAAAGUUAGUGGAGCUAGCGGAUGGAAGUGCUAGUCUAAGGAAGUAGGUUGAGUUAUAGGCAAAUCCGUAACUCUUUAUCCGAGAUCUGAAAGGCUUCUGACGCUCUUCGGAGUAGAUGAAGAAUCCAUGAUACUAUCGAGCCGAGAAAAGUUUCUAAGUUUAGCUGAUAUCGCCCGUACCGUAAACCGACACAGGUGGGUGGGAUGAGUAUUCUAAGGCGCGUGGAAGAACUCUCUUUAAGGAACUCUGCAAAAUAGCACCGUAUCUUCGGUAUAAGGUGUGCCUAGCUUCGUUAAGAAUUUACUUCGUAAGCGAAGAAGGUUACAACAAAGAGUCCCUCCCGACUGUUUACCAUAAACACAGCACUCUGCUAACUCGUAAGAGGAUGUAUAGGGUGUGACGCCUGCCCGGUGCUCGAAGGUUAAUUGAUGAUGUUAGCUUACGCAAAGCAUCUGAUCGAAGCCCGAGUAAACGGCGGCCGUAACUAUAACGGUCCUAAGGUAGCGAAAUUCCUUGUCGGUUAAAUACCGACCUGCAUGAAUGGCGUAACGAGAUGGGAGCUGUCUCAAAGAGGGAUCCAGUGAAAUUGUAGUGGAGGUGAAAAUUCCUCCUACCCGCGGCAAGACGGAAAGACCCCGUGGACCUUUACUAUAGCUUGACACUGCUACUUGGAUAAAGAUGCGCAGGAUAGGUGGGAGGCUUUGAGUCGUAGAUCUCGGUUUACGAUGAGCCAUUGUUGAGAUACCACUCUUCUUUAUUCGGGUAGCUAACUAGCCUAAGUUAUCCUUAGGUAGGACAAUGUCUGGUGGGUAGUUUGACUGGGGCGGUCGCCUCCCAAAAUGUAACGGAGGCUUACAAAGGUUGGCUCAAAGCGGUUGGAAAUCGCUUGCAGAGUAUAAAGGCAAAAGCCAGCUUAACUGCGAGACAUACACGUCGAGCAGAGACGAAAGUCGGUCUUAGUGAUCCGGUGGUUCUGUGUGGAAGGGCCAUCGCUCAAAGGAUAAAAGGUACCCCGGGGAUAACAGGCUGAUCUCCCCCAAGAGCUCACAUCGACGGGGAGGUUUGGCACCUCGAUGUCGGCUCAUCGCAUCCUGGGGCUGGAGCAGGUCCCAA
rnacentral:rRNA from 1 species